rnacentral:lncRNA from 1 species
ACUUUGUCACAUCCUACGCACACCUUCUGGAUGAAGCCCUUAACUGCGUUGCUUUUGAUGACAACACAAUGGAAGGACAGGAAGUAGAUGAGAAAGAGGAACCUACGGCUGCAACUGAAAGUUUUCAAGAGAAAAUGAAGGGACUGAGUGAAAUGCUUGAAAUAUUGCCACAAUUACAAAGCCUUAUAGAUAGGGUGAUGCAAUGUUACCCAGUAGGGGUUGCAUCACGAAGUUUUAUUGUGCAGUGUGCCAUGAAACUCAUACUUCGUGACAGCUUCGUUUGUUACACAAAAUUCAGAAGAGAAAUAGUUGGGGUUUUG